rnacentral:rRNA from 1 species
AGAGUUUGAUCCUGGCUCAGGAUGAACGCCGGCGGUGUGCCUAAUACAUGCAAGUCGUACGCACUGGCCCAACUGAUUGAUGGUGCUUGCACCGGAUUGACGUUGGAUCACCAGUGAGUGGCGGACGGGUGAGUAACACGUAGGUAACCUGCCCCGGAGCGGGGGAUAACAUUUGGAAACAGAUGCUAAUACCGCAUAACAACAAAAGCCACAUGGCUUUUGUUUGAAAGAUGGCUUUGGCUAUCACUCUGGGAUGGACCUGCGGUGCAUUAGCUAGUUGGUAAGGUAACGGCUUACCAAGGCGAUGAUGCAUAGCCGAGUUGAGAGACUGAUCGGCCACAAUGGAACUGAGACACGGUCCAUACUCCUACGGGAGGCAGCAGUAGGGAAUCUUCCACAAUGGGCGCAAGCCUGAUGGAGCAACACCGCGUGAGUGAAGAAGGGUUUCGGCUCGUAAAGCUCUGUUGUUGGAGAAGAACGUGCGUGAGAGUAACUGUUCACGCAGUGACGGUAUCCAACCAGAAAGUCACGGCUAACUACGUGCCAGCAGCCGCGGUAAUACGUAGGUGGCAAGCGUUAUCCGGAUUUAUUGGGCGUAAAGCGAGCGCAGGCGGUUGCUUAGGUCUGAUGUGAAAGCCUUCGGCUUAACCGAAGAAGUGCAUCGGAAACCGGGCGACUUGAGUGCAGAAGAGGACAGUGGAACUCCAUGUGUAGCGGUGGAAUGCGUAGAUAUAUGGAAGAACACCAGUGGCGAAGGCGGCUGUCUGGUCUGCAACUGACGCUGAGGCUCGAAAGCAUGGGUAGCGAACAGGAUUAGAUACCCUGGUAGUCCAUGCCGUAAACGAUGAGUGCUAGGUGUUGGAGGGUUUCCGCCCUUCAGUGCCGGAGCUAACGCAUUAAGCACUCCGCCUGGGGAGUACGACCGCAAGGUUGAAACUCAAAGGAAUUGACGGGGGCCCGCACAAGCGGUGGAGCAUGUGGUUUAAUUCGAAGCUACGCGAAGAACCUUACCAGGUCUUGACAUCUUGCGCUAACCUUAGAGAUAAGGCGUUCCCUUCGGGGACGCAAUGACAGGUGGUGCAUGGUCGUCGUCAGCUCGUGUCGUGAGAUGUUGGGUUAAGUCCCGCAACGAGCGCAACCCUUGUUACUAGUUGCCAGCAUUAAGUUGGGCACUCUAGUGAGACUGCCGGUGACAAACCGGAGGAAGGUGGGGACGACGUCAGAUCAUCAUGCCCCUUAUGACCUGGGCUACACACGUGCUACAAUGGACGGUACAACGAGUCGCAAGCUCGCGAGAGUAAGCUAAUCUCUUAAAGCCGUUCUCAGUUCGGACUGUAGGCUGCAACUCGCCUACACGAAGUCGGAAUCGCUAGUAAUCGCGGAUCAGCAUGCCGCGGUGAAUACGUUCCCGGGCCUUGUACACACCGCCCGUCA